GUUCUGCUGAGGCUGUGACAUCAAUCUGUGACAUCACGCUUUUCUGUAUUACAUCACAAAACUGCAAUCUGGAAUUUUAGUUGACCACAAGACACGUUCAGUCAGUGAAGAAGAGUUCGACAAUUCAGACUUCUGUUAAAAACGUACGGAGUGCUACAAAAAUGGAUGAAACCCCUGAGCCACCGACGUGUAUUGAGAGAGAGUUGGAUUACAUAAUUAAAACGAUAACGGAAAUAAGUGUCAUUUUGAAAAAACCGAUCACGUUGUCCGAUGACAAUAUAGAAAUACUUAGGAUUCAAAUUAGAGAUGCCAGUUUUAGAGUCAACAAAAUAAGAUCAUUUCUUGGAUGUUCAAUCGAGACUUUGGAAGAAUUAAAACGAUCGAUCAACGUUCUAGAAGGGGUCAUGAAAAGCCAUGAGGAGUGGAGGGAAUCAAAGAAAUCACAGGCUAAGAAACCAAAGGCGAUAAAGGCCUUACAAGACAUUGCAAAAGGAAUCGGGAUAGGUCUGAUGGCUGUGGGGGCAGUAUUUCUAUGGCAAACCUUUGGAUAUCAAUGGACCUUAAUGGAGCCACCAGCUGAAGUGCACUAAGCUGCACUAUAUUUGACCCAGAGAAAAGGCAUUUUUAAACUCUGCCUUAACACCAACCAGGGAGUUUGAGAGUUCUUGUUUCCUAGAUAUCAGUGGAACCAGUGGUAUCGAUGUUGGUUCUCCAGAACCAGGGGGUCCAGCCAAGCUUCAUGUGGGCUUUGAGUGCACUAAACUGGCCAGGUUUAGGGUGACGGCUACUUGGCAGGAGGUAAGUCGGUGGUCCCUGGACGAGAUCUGGGUUCUGGGAACCGUGUACCCAGAACGAAGGUCACUAGGGCUUCGCCAGGCAGCUGGCACCGAGCUGGGCAUUCCCUGGUAUGGGGUCCAACUCUGGGAGCCGCCACCUGGAGCCUCAUGGCCAAAAUCAGGUACCUCUGACAUGGACCCAGCCCUGGUUCCGGGUCUGGUCCCAGUCCUGCGUCUGGUUCUGUUUCUAGUCCUGGUUCUGGGCACAAGGCUUUGUGUCCAUUGCAGCACAACACUCAGGUUGGAUAAGCUCAGUCUCUCAUGUCUUUGUUUGGGAUAAGGCAGCAGAGGGACUAUAUGUUCUUAAAGACGCUGCGUCCUAAAUGGAUUUCUUCAGCGCCUCAGGUUUUGGUUUCCUGCUGUUUAAUGUGUCCUGUGUCGCCGGUUGGUUCCCGCUGUAAGGGAUGGACUUGAAGUCUGAGGAAUCUGUCUUGUUGUUGUUGUUGGUCUCUCUCAACCUCCUCACUUCCUUCUUUCCUCCUCCAGGUUGCCAGAGCUGCUCCUCUGAUGAGUAUCUUCCCUGCUUGGUGGUGGAUGUGAAAAAUCACUUUUUUGUUUUUAGGUUUCUGAAGAACUUAGGGUCAAAACAAAAUCUUCUUAAUUACAGGUUUGGUCACUUUAUGAAACUUUUGCAACAAUGUAUAACUCAAUAUGAAGAUACUUUUGCAACACUGAUGGAAUGAAAUAUUAAGGCUUUUAUUUGGAAGAGUAUUUCUACGCCUUAUUUUAAGAGAAUUUGGACGAUCCAUGCUGCAGAGAUCCGCAGCAUGGAGCUCCGGAGCCACAAGCGUCUCUUUAGUGCUUCCAAGGUUCAAUAGUAGCAAUAAUUGUUGCUAAAAAUGUUAAAGAACCAAAUGACUUUUUAAAAAUGAAUAUGUAAUGUAGCAGGAUGAAGCCUGCUUCAGGAUUGAAGACACCUGGCACCUACCUAUUCACCUGAGUGGGUGGGAGCAUAAAGGCAGACUCCCUCACCUUCUCUCUUCAUGCCUGCAUUUGGUCACACGUCAGUUGAAUGUCUGCUUGGUUAAAUUGCAGUGAUCAAACUCAAAAACCGAAAUAAAGCUGCCUCAAGCCUCCUGUUUAUACUGGGAUGUGGCAGUAAUUUACCCUCCCAGUGCAACUUGGCAACAUAAAAAGGCUUGUAUUGACAAGUGGAUCCUCCUGCUUUGGGGCCGGAAGGGGCUCUCUGGUUGAGGUGGAGUCAUCCAGCUCUGGCUGGGAGCUGAAGGCAGUGGGGGGGCAGCCAGAGGGACUGGACCAGUGUGCUGUGCGAGUGACCGGUGUUGGGAUUUCUUCACGGAUUGAAUGUUUAUUCACAAGUGCUUGGGGUGAUUUAUUUUGAUUUAUUAAUUUGUUUAGGCCCAGAUCCCACAUUUGGAUCACCCUCCCCCCUGCUGGUAGGCCCCAGCACUGCACUCCCUUUCCUAUUGUGCUCCUUGAAUUUUACUGG